CUCCCGCCCGGCGGUCCCGCCCCGGCUCCCUUUCAGUCCGCCCGGCCUCUCAGGCAAGUAGGGAGGGCAGGAAGGCGGGAGGGCGAGCGGGCGCCCGCAGCCCCGGCCGGAGGAGCCCGCCGUCAGCGAAGGGCAGCCCUGAAGGGGCUGGGGUCGGGAGGCUCCUCUGACCCUGACCCCGCCAGGGCACCGCCGAUCUCCACGCCUCGGGCUGCACGUUGCAAGAAACCCUGACUAUGGUGGAAGCUUCAAGCUUUAACAAGCAUUACUGCUAAAUUCAAGAAUCCUUAUAGGAGAAAGGAUAAAGGAAGAAAUGUAAGGCUUGCUGUUCAAGUUACGCUGAAAUAUUGAAUCUGAAUGAAAGGUGUCAGUGUUGGAGGCUCAAGACACAGGCCCUGAAAAUGAAAUUACUCUUACUUUAUUUAUUAAUGGUGCAUUGUUGCUAGCAGCUGAAAGCCACAGGCCCUACUGGUGAGGAGUUAAUUGUUCAUGCAGCUCAGCACCGAAACAGAGCAGAGUUGUUGUUUCAGGGAGGCUAUGGAGGUCCAAGGGGACUUGAACAAUGAGUAUUCAAAAGAGGAUUCUGCUCAGAGUCCAAGUGGCAGAAACAUUGAUCACACACAUGAAGAUUAGCAUGGCUUGUGAAUGAAGAAAGGUUGGCAGAAAGGAAACAAAUGGGAGAUCGCUGUGCUUCCUGCAGUAUUCACAAGGGACUUACGUGGUGGCAUCAUCACUAAUAUCUAGGUUACAAGAAUAUCCCUUUGCCAGAGGUAUGGAAUCAAAAGAGCAGAUGUUCAAGGCUUUGUCCGACUUGCAGCCAACGUCCUGGAGUGGCCUAUGGCCUUGGAAGGAUGGAGAUUGCUGCUGAAAUAUGGGGCAGGGCUGGGAAGCAGUUGUAGUUCAGGCCAUCUUUGGGUUCUUCAGUAAUGCAGGCAGCUUUCCAGCAGUUCUACCAAUAGUGCACAGACUUUCUUGUUGAGUGUACUUCUUGCAAACAGUGUCAAGCCCCACUUGGAAAAUUGCACCAAGAGGAUAAAAGCAGCUCCAGAAUGAAGUGUUGUAACUGAAAUAGCUAGAAAUUCAGCUGAGAUCACUACAAUUUUUCUGCUUGUAUAGGAUGAAACUGCCUUACUGUCUUGUAUAAGUGCCUGUCCCUGACGAUGUCAUUGUAUGGCUGCAGUGACCUGCUGUAGCUGAGAGAUUCAUCAGAUUGAGGCUUUAUGGAAAACAGUUUGUCAUGGGAGGGCAUUUGAUGAAAUCCCUUUAGGAUAUAAAUAUCAGUUGCAGGAAUUCAGGGAUGUCUAGGAAAAGAAAAACAAAACAAACUCUUUCUAAGAAGCCAAAUCUUCAUAUGCUACUACUACAUAAAUAAUGAAACAGCUGUUUAGCACGACCAUUGAAGGCAUGUAGUAACUUUGUUUGCAGACCCACCAAACUCUAGACAAUCUCUGGAGACAUCCUUCCUUUUGCCACUGGUUCUCUUCUGUUCUGCUGCCUCCUGUGACUAAAUGCCAACAACAGAUUAAUCAACGGCUCGUUAAGCUCUAAUGGUCUGGUAUGUCCCUGUCCUUCCUCUUGUUCAUGUGACACAUCUCUCUUGCUUUCUUCAUGGGGCUGGAGCAGGGAAAAAAUACUUUCCCUUCUUCCCUAUUAUGCCACUGCCUGACUGCGCAUGGUGAAUCAGUCUUCUCCCUUGUAUCCUUCCCAUCAAUGUGGCUCAAUUCAGCACCUCACAGAGCUAAUGCUUGGUGAGAGGGUGCCAGAAACUAACCGGCAACCUGUGAAUUUUGCUGAGAGGUUUUAGCAGGCUAGCAGGCAUGUGGCUAAUGCUCUUUAGAAAAGGUGGGCAUGGAGGGAGAAGGUAGUAUCUUUAGCUAUAGGAUGAUUGCAUUCAACGUGGCUUUAUAGUUAUAUUGAAUUAUAUUUGCACUCUUAGGAAAGCAUUAUAAACACUAGAAGGGCCAUAUGUAAGCUGGCAGCAGUAUCACCAUAUAGAUACCUUCCCAUUCAGACUGAGAAAAACAGUCUUGCACCUCUUCUCUGGUAAAGAGCUGACCCUGCUCUUAAGGAGUGAAGGGCACCUGGAUCCAAAUGAGAGAGAAUAUGCAUAAAGAAAAUGGAGUUACAUUCCCUGUUCUAAUAGGUGGCAGAAAAUCUAUAAAGAAGCUCUUUGUAAAUUUGUCACAAGACGUGAAAAAGCAAUAAAGCAGCCAAGGUGAAUGUUCACCACCUAUACAGAAGAUGAGCCUACCCUGUACUAAUGGUAUAGAAGGGCUGUAUGGACUGGGCAAUGUGUGUAAGGAGCACCACAACCAAAACAUGAUGGUCUGCAGGGAACCCUUGCUAUCAGCUUCAAUCCAAUGCAGGUCUGGACCUCAAACAUUUGCAUUGUUUCUGGUUUCAUAGCUGUUGUGUUCAGUAGUUUAAUAGUUUAAUUUUUGUAAUCUAAAUAGAAAUGUAUUCAGGCUGUUUUACUACCCUGCAGAAGGUAUUUGUUUCCUAGAAUUAGAUGAAUUAAGUUACUUAAUUUUCACAAUAUUUUCUAACUUCUUGGAGUUUCCCUCAAGUUAUCAGUGAUCUUGUCAUUUUCUAACUCACAUACUUUGUUCCUUGACUCUACAGUAGAGCUUCACUGGAACACUUAUUUAUUUUUUUUAAUGGCUAAAUGCACAAGGGAGUAAAGUUCAUCUCUUGUUGUUGGGAGAUUUCUUUUCUCUAGUUCUCUUGUAUUAUUACAGGCUUAUACUACUGUAAAAGGAAGACUAAGACAAUUUCAAAUACGCUCUGGGCACUAUUCUGGAUUUCUUGACUCCUUGAUACUGUGAUGCUUUUGUAUUUGUAUAUUGCAAGGCUUUAAUUUCAUAGAUGCUCUUAUGUAGGCUUUCUGAUGAAAAGAAAAGCAUAUGGCUGGUAACUGCCCAGCUCAGCCCACCCUCAGUCUGUUUUGAACGUGGUCUCUCUAGAAGGUUUUAGGAAUGCUGAGUGUGUAUUUGGUAUCAGUCCAUGGCUGAAAAGUUACCUUGCCCUCUGGAAACCUACCGGCUCUCUCGUUUUCACUCAUCACCUUUAGUGAGCAGUUGCUGUCAGGAAGAACCUACUGCUUAGUGCAGAGAGCCUUAAUGUGGCUGUGCUUGUGAUUCCUGAUGAGCUUCACGAGGGACUACACUGCAGCCCCCCGGAAGAAUUUGAUGCUUCAGUUGGGCUCUGUCCUUCUUGGAGCCAUGCUGCCCUAGAUGACACUGUUGCUGAUGCUGAAUGUUGCUGUAAUGCAAGUGUGAGGCAGGCUGAUGAAGAAGUAAUUCUGCCUUUUCUAACCAAAAAUUAUAAUUUAAGCAAGUGUCUAAGUGUUAAAAAAUUCAUGUUCUUUUCAUCGUCUCAUCUGAGAGGUUCUGUACAAUGCCAUUUGGUAAAGUUCAAGGGUAGCUUAAUUUUGAAAUUUUUGUUCUUACAGCAAGGGGAGCAUGUACAUCCAGAUUAAAAAAUAAAUAUAUGUAUAUAUAUAGGCAUAAUACAGCUCUUUAAAAAUAUAUUUAAGUGAGGAAGGAGGAGCAUUGUGGACUAUACAGAUCAUCUCUAACCAGAGGAAGUAUAAACCCAUCUCCCUGUUGAACUUGUGGUUGGGAAUAAAACAGCUUUUAUGAGACAAUCCCACAAACAACAGUUACUCUGAUAAAGACACAGGCUCAGCCUCUGCAGAAUGGUUUUAGUGAUAGUUAUUUGGCUCCUGCCAACCCUGUAGUCCUUGGAGAAUCACCUGACACAGGAAAGCAUGUUUACUCUGUGUAGUUCUCGUAGCAAUAAAUGACAUGAUGGUGUUUAAUGAAAGACAAUUUACAGUUAUCUGUUGCACUUACUACAAUUCACUGCUCUUCCUUUCUGCCUAAGGGGACCUGGACAAAACAAAAUGAAAUAUGACUCUGUGACCUUCUGUAUUUAAGCUUGGUGUUAGAGUUGGAGUAGCCAUUGGAGAAAGCAGCUCUUUCCAAGCUGCACUUUAUUCACUAUACAUGGACAAACCCAGAAGGUUAUUUCUUUCUUCCUUUUUUUUUGCCUCAUGUAUGGCAUUUCCAGGUACGUCCUGGUAUAAUUAUACCCAUUUAGUGAAUAUGCCUAGUACUGAGUUUCCGCAUGCUUCUCAAGCUCUGUUACAUACUAUAGACGUCCUGCUACAAGUAGUCAAGCAGCCUGCUGCCCAAGUGGCCUGACCACUUCAUGGUGCUCACUAAUAACACUAUCACUUCUAGAAUUUGCUUUGCCUUAGCUCUCUUGUCACCUCAUGUUCAACUCACUAGGAGCAUCUUCUGUUCAUCUGUUUCCAAGUAAAUAUUCUUGAAUAUCCAAACUAUGAUGUGGAUGCACUUUCAGCCACAGCUGUCAUUCCUAGAAGAUCUCCCUGGAAAUAUCCUCUUGUGGUUUUAUCUGUGAUGGUUGACAUAAUCUGAGUCUGUUGUCACCUGGCAGGUGAGGGUCUAAGUUUUCUAGCUAUUGGCUGGGAUCAGCUAAUUAAAGGAAGAACAUCUCCAUCCAAAGGCUUAUAAACUGGUGGAUGUAUCCUAACCUGACCACCUGUACUUCCUCUCACAGGAGGGCACCCAUAUGGGAGCAGGUCAGGCAGUAAAACAGAUGAGGUCUUGAUCAGACCUUUUGUAUCUGAAAACAGCUUUGAGAUGAUAAGAUUCUGCUCCCACAGCGGAGCUGAUACGUGGAAUGAAAUCCAGAGAAUGGGAGACAAAGAAGGUCCAAGUGUAGUAAAUGAAAAAAUAAUAAAUAUCAUACAUUCCAGGUUUGAAGAGAUUGGAAAAAGAGAACUGAAAGAGAAUAAGAAAAUAACCUAGCUUUUCAUUCUUUUGGACAAGAAUGUUGAAGACUUCUGUUACUUGAAGAAACUUAUUUUUUUUAACUACUGAAAUGAUUUUUCACUGGUUUUCCUUUUUUUUUCCCCAGGAUGUAUUUUUAAGGUGUGGUGGACAAACACUAUUACUUGCAUUUUCUCUUUCCAGCUUUCUGGUGAGAGCACUGCAAUAAAUGCACCACACAUACAAAACAUCUGUCAGAACCUGACAUUCUUCUCUUUAUAGCUCAGAGUGGUUUUUCAUUAAUUGGCUGUAAAAUGAAAAUAUCAAAAACCUUGUUCAAAAUGCACAGUAAAAAAAUAAAUGCUUAGAGA